rnacentral:rRNA from 1 species
GGCGAAAGGGGCAGUAAGGCAUGGGUAACCCACCCCGGGGACCGGUAUAGCCGGCCUAACGGCCGGGUAAUUCCGGGCGACGUGCCGGAGGGGCAACCCCUCGGCACCAGAGGGCUUCCGCCCCGGGACGGGCCCAUGUGGUAUUAGCUGGUUGGCGGGGUGACGGCCCACCAAGGCGGUGAUGCCUAGCAGGUGUGCGAGCACGACCUGCGCCACUGGCACUGAGACACUGGCCAGACUCCUACGGGAGGCUGCAGUCGAGGAUCUUCGGCAAUGGGCGCAAGCCUGACCGAGCGACGCUGCGUGGGGGACGAAGGCCUUCGGGUUGUAAACCCCUGUCGGGGGGGAGCAAGGGCGCAAGCCUUGAGCGACCCCCGGAGGAAGCACGGGCUAAGUUCGUGCCAGCAGCCGCGGUAAGACGAACCGUGCGAACGUUGUUCGGAAUCACUGGGCUUAAAGGGCGCGUAGGCGGCCCGCCCAGUCUCGGGUGAAAGCCCGCGGCCCAACCGCGGAAGUGCCCGGGAUACUGGCGGGCUGGAGGGGGGUAGGGGCAGGCGGAACUUCCGGUGGAGCGGUGAAAUGCGUUGAGAUCGGAAGGAACGCCGGCGGCGAAAGCGGCCUGCUGGGCCCCCGCUGACGCUGAGGCGCGAAAGCCAGGGGAGCGAACGGGAUUAGAUACCCCGGUAGUCCUGGCCGUAAACGAUGGGUACCGGGUAGGGGGCUGUCACGGGCUCCCUGCCGCAGCCAAAGUGGUAAGUACCCCGCCUGGGGAGUAUGGUCGCAAGGCUGAAACUCAAAGGAAUUGACGG